AUUGCUUCUUGGCCUUCUGGUUAAGAGGGGCGAAAGCAUUAUGUAAGUUGUAUCUGUUCUUAUCGGUUUAAUAUCUGAUAUGUUCUUAAUUUAAGGACUGUCUACUCCAUUGGUUUUUGAAACAGGGGGUUUUCUUUUCCCCCCCUUUUUUUUUUUUAAAAAGUGGGGGAGGGAUAGCUC
rnacentral:snRNA from 1 species